ACGAACGCUGGCGGCGCGCCUAACACCUGCAAGUCGAACGGAGCUGAGAGAAGCUUGCUUUUCUUAGCUUAGUGGCGAACGGGUGAGUAACGCGUGAGUAACCUGCCCUGGAGUGGGGGACAACAGUUGGAAACGACUGCUAAUACCGCAUAAGCCCACGAUCCGGCAUCGGAUUGAGGGAAAAGGAUUUAUUCGCUUCAGGAUGGACUCGCGUCCAAUUAGCUAGUUGGUGAGGUAACGGCCCACCAAGGCGACGAUUGGUAGCCGGACUGAGAGGUUGAACGGCCACAUUGGGACUGAGACACGGCCCAGACUCCUACGGGAGGCAGCAGUGGGGGAUAUUGCACAAUGGGGGAAAACCUGAUGCAGCGACGCCGCGUGGAGGAAGAAGGUUUUCGGAUUGUAAACUCCUGUCGUUAGGGACGAUAAUGACGGUACCUAACAAGAAAGCACCGGCUAACUACGUG
rnacentral:rRNA from 1 species